AACGAACGCUGGCGGCAUGCCUAACACAUGCAAGUCGAACGAGACCUUCGGGUCUAGUGGCGCACGGGUGCGUAACGCGUGGGAACCUGCCCUUAGGUUCGGAAUAACUCCCCGAAAGGGGUGCUAAUACCGGAUAAUGUCUUCGGACCAAAGAUUUAUCGCCUUUGGAUGGGCCCGCGUUGGAUUAGCUAGUUGGUAGGGUAAAAGCCUACCAAGGCGACGAUCCAUAGCUGGUCUGAGAGGAUGAUCAGCCACACUGGGACUGAGACACGGCCCAGACUCCUACGGGAGGCAGCAGUGGGGAAUAUUGGACAAGGGGCGAAAGCCUGAUCCAGCAAUGCCGCGUGAGUGAUGAAGGCCUUAGGGUUGUAAAGCUCUUUUACCCGGGAUGAUAAUGACAGUACCGGGAGAAUAAGCGCCGGCUAGCUCCGUG
rnacentral:rRNA from 1 species